UUUUCCCCAGGUUCUCCGGUUUCCUCCCACGCUCCAAAGAUGCACAGCUCAGUCACAUCACCAGCAUGAAAUGAUUUCACUUCAGCUAAGAAUUAAACAAGUGGAUACAAUGGAGGCACAAGGAACAGCAGAUGCUGGAAUCUUGAGCAGAACACUGAUGGAAUAACUCAGCAGGUGUUUAAUAUUCGACCUUCUGACCUUGCCAGCCGCUGAAGAGACACGCUGCAGUCUGGUGCAGCUGCAGGCGCAGGUGACCGAAGAGUUUGAGACACAUCGCUGCACCCCGGAGCUCCACGUGGAUACAUGCAGAGGGGACGAGGCGGACUCUCGACUUCUUGCCAGGCAGCGCU